GUGCAGCAGGCGCGAAAACUUUGCAAUAAGCGAAAGCUUGACAGGGCUAUCCCGAGUGCCAUCCGCUGAGGAAGGCUUUUACCCAGUCUAGAACGCUGGGGGAAUAAGGAGAGGGCAAGUCUGGUGUCAGCCGCCGCGGUAAUACCAGCUCUCCGAGUGGUGUGGAUGUUUAUUGGGCCUAAAGCACCCGUAGCUGGCUAAGUUAGUCCCCUGUUAAAUCCACCGAAUUAAUCGUUGGAUUGCGGGGGAUACUGCUUGGCUAGGGGACGAGAGAGGCAGACGGUAUUUCCGGGGUAGGGGUGAAAUCCUAUAAUCCCGGGAAGACCACCAGUGGCGAAGGCUGUCUGCUAGAACGCGCCCGACGGUGAGGGAUGAAAGCUGGGGGAGCGAACCGGAUUAGAUACCCGGGUAGUCCCAGCUGUAAACGAUGCAGACUAGGUGUUUGAACGGCCACGUGCCGUUCUAGUGCCGCAGGGAAGCUGUUAAGUCUGCCGCCUGGGGAGUACGAUCGCAAGAUUGAAACUUAAAGGAAUUGGCGGGGGAGCAC
rnacentral:rRNA from 1 species